GGGUGAGUAAUGCCUAGGAAUCUGCCUGGUAGUGGGGGAUAACGUUCGGAAACGGACGCUAAUACCGCAUACGUCCUACGGGAGAAAGCAGGGGACCUUCGGGCCUUGCGCUAUCAGAUGAGCCUAGGUCGGAUUAGCUAGUUGGUGGGGUAAUGGCUCACCAAGGCGACGAUCCGUAACUGGUCUGAAAGGAUGAUCAGUCACACUGGAACUGAGACACGGUCCAGACUCCUACGGGAGGCAGCAGUGGGGAAUAUUGGACAAUGGGCGAAAGCCUGAUCCAGCCAUGCCGCGUGUGUGAAGAAGGUCUUCGGAUUGUAAAGCACUUUAGGUUGGGAGGAAGGGUUGUAGAUUAAUACUCUGCAGUUUUGACGUUACCGACAGGA
rnacentral:rRNA from 1 species